GGAAGGAAUGGUGCACGAUGUGGCUCGCUUAAGACGCUGCUUGGCCGAUUUCGGAUUUUUAACAGCGCCUCCGGGAACAGGAAGAGCUGUUUGAAAGAACGAUCGCGCCUGCCAGAAGAAGCUGGCAGGGGUGUCUGCACAAGCUCAGAACAAGACAUUCUGCCAAAUACUAAUCCCAAAGAAACAGAAUAUUAGGCUGUUGCUAUAUCCCAUACCUUAUCAUUACCAAUUGCUGAGACAACCUUCUAACACUUUGGAAUCAGAAUGGUGCAAUGUGUUGGAUGAAGUAGAAAAGCAGCUGCCCACCUCACUGAUGGCGGCGUUGUCCUCCUCUCCUGGCCUCACCAGCCUGUUCCCGGUGAGCUUCAU